GAUCAUUUCCCAGUCCAGAACAUGGUUUCCUGAACGACCCGCUCACAGGGACAUCUGAAGGAUCUUAACCCGUCUGGGCCAUGACUGCCAACAUCUCAGGGACAGCAGCUCUGCCGGCGACCUCAGCGUUUAAUCUGACGGCAGCCGCUCAGGCAGACCUCGGGCAGGGUCGGUCUCUCCCACCGCUCUGCACCCUCUGUUGCUGCGGGGUCAUCAAUCGCACCCUCGCUGUGGCGUUCAUGGUCAGCCUGGCGUUUGCCAUCGUGGUGGGAAACGUGGUCACUCUUACAGUGUUUGUGCAAACAAGACAGUCCAGAACCCCACAGGGAUACUUGAAAGUCUCUCUGGCCAUGGCAGACAUGAUGGUUGGCGUCGUCGUGGUUCCCUUCUCUGUCUACACAGAAAUCUCUCUGAUGGUGACCAGCUCGCCCCCAGUGUGGUACCAGGGCAGCGCCGCCUCCUCCACCUCUCAAGGUGAGCUGCCUAGCCCCUGGCAGCCCUGCAUGCUGAUUGGUCCUGUCUUUGGUGGAUGCACUUUUGUCUCCAUCAGCACCAUCUUCCUGAUGACAUUGGAGCGCAGCGUGGCUAUCCUGUGGCCGCUCCACAAGGAUGCGCUGGUGACAAGGAGACGAACGCUGUUCCUCAUCCUGCUGUCCUGGGCGGCCAGCUUCCUGCUGGCUCUGGCUCCGCUCAUCUUCAGCAGUAACUUCACGUUAGAGUACAACGAGUGCAGCCGCAUGUGCAAUUACACCCCUCUGCUGUUUGGAGGCCGGCUUCCACAUGAUGCCAACAUCCUGCUGCUUUUCCCAGCAUUCGACUUCACACUUCUGGGUGGCACAUUAGCAGUGAACAUUGUGUCUUUCACCAGCAUCCGAAGGUACACCAGGAAACGCAAGCUGCUCUCAGAGGGGAGUCUGAGUGAUGGAGGGGGAGGCGGGGGAGGAUGCUCUUACAGACCCUCCUUCUCAGACAUCAAGGCUGCAAAGACAAUUGGCAUACUGACGUUUGCCUUCACGGCGUCCUUCUCUCCCAUUGCCGUGUUCGUGCUGGGGAACGUGGUGGGAUACACCUGGUGUAACUUUUCCUUUUUCGCCUUCUGGAUUCUGACGGGAAACAGUUGCUGUAAUGUGAUUAUCUACAGCGUCAGGGACAGCCGCUUCAGGAAAGGUGUGACCCUGCUCUUUCAGAGAGAACAGUCACUCCCUCACGGAGAGAAGACCUGA
rnacentral:lncRNA from 1 species